rnacentral:lncRNA from 1 species
ACUUUGUUCCUGGUCUCUCUCCACAGUUGGAAUUGGGAACUACACAUGGGCACAGCUUACAGGUGGAAUGAUGACUCACACCUGAAGAUAUUUUGACCUUUGUAGUCUUAGGGCAAAAACUAAGGUCCUGUGUCUUCAACUUGUAGGAUGGUCACGGAAUAUUACAACUUGCAUGCACGUUGAAUGAAGCCCUCAAAUGCUACAAAGAGUGCCAAAAUAGAGCCCAGCUAAAACUGUGGUAAAACUGUGGCUGUUGUAUGCAAACUCAAAUAAAAGUAAGGAUUAUCAGCCUUCCACAUUAACAGAACCCACUGUUGAGGUUCUGAAUCGCUCACCAAGAGGCAAUCAAGUUGGAAUUGUGACUCUCAUGCAUCAAUCCAAUCGACAGAUGAGAUGAUAACACCAAGUCCAGGAUUUAGAACACCUGGGGGCUGUGCUUCCCCUAUCAAAACACAGUCUGUUGGUGAGAUUUGGGCUCUCGUGCAUUGAUUUAGUCCACUGUUGUGACUGACUUGCAUAGUUGAACUCAAACCCACAAGAGGUGUUGACUCUUAUACCUUUAGCAGGAAAAUGUCCCGGAUUGUGAAUUUCUGCUAUUGACCGGGUCCAGCUGGAUCCAGGUAUGAGAGUCAUCAUCUCACCUGUGAGCUGUGACCAUGUAUAUGUCGCAAUUUCACCUGUCAUCAGGAAGCAGACAUGAGAGUCCUAUCACCUGGGUGCUGGACGAAGUUUCGCUCUUGUUUCCCAGGCCGGAGCACAAUG